GAGAGGGGUGGAGAAAGGGAAUGGGUUCUGCUUCCGCAUGUAGGCCGAUUGAGGGUUAUCAAAAUGAAAAUUAACUAAGAAUUAGCGAGUGUGGAAGCGGAGGGAUUUACAUGAUGUCCUGCAAUAAUGGAAUUGUUACGCCAUUUGCAGAGAAGAGUGCAGGCUUGCCAUCGCUGUUGAGGUCAAAGAACAAGUCUCCUAGGGCAAAAUCAUUUGGGUUCUACGGACAAAGAGAAAAAGAGACGAGACGGAAAAAAAAAAAAAAAAAAAAGGGAGAAGAGAACAGGGGAAGAAGGGAAACAAGAAGAGAUUUAGAGGAAGAAAGAAAAGGGGAGAGAGGAAGAACAAAAGAAAGAAAAGAAGUGGCUCUCCCUCUCUCUAGUUGAGCAACUAACUAAGACUGCACUUGCUAUCACCAACCAAGGACCAACAAGGUCACAUUCCUACUACAUUUUAGCACGAUCUUACCAUAGCAAGGGACUGGCUAUGGUAAUGCCACUUCUAAAGUUGCUGUUUUAGGAGGAAUCAAGUCUGCCACAUUAUGGUUUUUAUUUGGUGGUUUGCAUGAAAUCUCAUCUCAGCUUUCAUCACCAUUUGGCUGGAUGCUGAUGGAUUUAUUGCGGAAGAGCCUAACAUGAAUGUGGCUUUUGUUAGAAAAGACAAGGAACUUCUGAUGCCUCAGUUUGACAAAAUACCAAGUGGCUGCACGACUAAGAGAGUUUUGGCAGUUACAGAAGGCCUGGUGAAGGAGGGUAAGCUUCGGGGACUGAGAGUCGAAAAUGUGACUGUUGAGGAAGGGAAGAAGGCAGAUGAGAUGAUGCUUAUCGGCAGUGGAGUUUAGGGGUAAUUCUUUACAUUCUUCUUAGCAGAAUACCACCAUUUUGGGGGAGGACAAAGUCGAGCAUAUUUGAUGCUGUUAGGACAGCUGAUCUGAGGUUCCCAUUUGAUCCCUGGGAUGGCAUCACUAAAUUAGCUAAUGAUUUGAUUCAAGGAAUUCUCUGUAAAGAUCCUUCUAAAAGGCUCGCUGCUCACCAGGUUUUAGGUAGUUUAAGUAAUGAUUGCAGUAACAGAGUUUGCUCAAAUGAACACAUUCCUUGAGAAUCUGAGAUCAUUCUAGCUAGCAUCUGUAAUAUGA